UGAAGGCAAACAGGGUCAGAUUUGCCUCAGGACACAGGGCUGGUCAGGGGCUGAAAAGGAAGGGAAACUGAUUCCGAAACCCCCCUGAGUAUGAGGAGGUGGUGUUUCAGCCGUCUGUGGUCACUGGUAGCUCUGGGUAACUGAAAAUGGGAGCAGGGGUAGGAGGAAGAGAGAUGCUAGCGCUAGAGCAUAUAGAGCAGUCUCUACCCAUUCAGUGGGUGAUAUUUAAACCCAGGAUUUCAGAGUUCCCAUCGUGGCUCAGUGGGUAAAGAACCCAGCUAGUAUCCAUGAGGAUGUGGGUUCGAUCCCCGCCCUCGCUCAGCGGGUUAAGGAUUUGGCAUUGCCAUGAGCUGAGGUGUAGGUCACAGAGGCAGCUCAGACCUGUCAUUGUUGUCUGUGGCUGUAUCAAAGGCCAGAAGCUAAAGCUCCAAUUUGAUCCCUAGCCUGGGAACUUCCAUAUGCUGCUGGUGCAGUGCCCCCCCACCCCCCCAAAAAAAAACAGGAUCUCCUAGCAAAUUGGACCUGAAGUGCCUGUCUCUUUAAAAAGAUCCUGAAUGGAGUUCCCAUCGUGGCGCAGUGGUUAGUGAAUCCGACUGGGAACCAUGAGGUUGAGGGUUCGAUCCCUGCCCUUGCUCAGUGGGUUAAGGAUCCGGCGGGGCCAUGAGCUGUGGUGUAGGUUGCAGACUCGGCUCAGAUCCCACGUUGCUGUGGCUCUGGUAUAGGCUGGCAGUUACAGCUCGGAUUAGACCCCUAGCCUGGGAACCUCCAUAUGCUGCAGGAGCGGCCCAAGAAAUGGCAAAAAGACAAAAUAAAUAAAUAAAUUAAUUAAUUAAUUAAUUAAAUUAAAUAAAAAAUAAAAAGAUCCUGAGUGUCAGACCAAUGGAUCAUGCACGACACCAUACAAAGCUUCCAGCCCAUCCUGAGUGUUGAGGGCUUGAACCCUUCACUCUGCUUCACCACUUCCAUCUGUAAUCUGCCCACUUGGACCUCCUUCUCAGUCCUUCCCUGUAUUUUGUUUUCUUUGCCCAACCUCCCUCCUAGUGGAAGAACGUUACUUGAAAACCAAUGGAUCAUGCACGACACCAUACAAAGCUUCCAGCCCAUCCUGAGUGUUGAGGGCUUGAACCCUUCACUCUGCUUCACCACUUCCAUCUGUAAUCUGCCCACUUGGACCUCCUUCUCAGUCCUUCCCUGUAUUUUGUUUUCUUUGCCCAACCUCCCUCCUAGUGGAAGAACGUUACUUGAAAGAGGGGACAGCUCAGGGAUAGCGGAGCUCAAGGACAGUGGGCUGGAGUUGGGCGGGGGGGGUCUGUCCCUUCGGGUCACACAAGGUGCUUUGAUUUCCCCUCCUUUUGAGGACAGCACUGGCAUCAGCAGCUCUCCCUCUUACGGUUUCCUCCAAAGACAGAAGAGAAAGAGUUGUUUUGGAAUCUUGGUUAAAAUUUUUUCUUUAAAAAUUUUUAAAAAACAACCCCUCCCGGAAACCAAGCUAGUUGAAUUUAGAACAAGAAAUGAAAAUGAAAGAGGCUUCUGCAGGAAGUGGUUAGAAACAAGAGGCUAACAGGGUCCUGAGCACAGGGGAGGGUGUUUGAAAAUAGAUGGGGGCAGAGACCUCAGCAGUCUCACCUCAAAGUUCACAGCCAGGGCCUCUUCUCUGCCUCCCCGGACCCACAGUGGUUCAGUUUCCAGGCACUGAGGUUGUGGGUGGGCGGGUGGGGAGGCAGGGAGGUGGGAGGGAGGACAUUGAGGAGGACCCCCAAAAGAUGCCAAAAGGCAGAUCGUGUAAAGCAGGAUGAAAAACAUGCUCCGAAUCCAUUUUCAAGCAACUCACAAUUGGGGUCAACCACCCCAGGUCAAUCUCCAGUGAGUUUCCAUUUUUUUGUUAAAAAAAAAAAAAACCUUCAGGAGCCACAUUUGACAAAUCCCUGCCUCAACCCCCAGGCUCACGUCUACACAAUCUGACUUUCCGCCUCUAAGUUCUAGCCCUCCUUGGCUUCUUUUAAAUACCUGAGAGCUCCAUGCUGUCGUUUGCCUUGGAACAUGUGGCUUCUUUUUUCCUGGAAACACCUCCAAUGCCUUUGCUCACUCACUUUCAAAAUGAUGUUCCUUUUGCUCAGAAGUCGUUUCUGACCCCCUCUCCCAUUAGCUUACCUUCUCUCUUACACACACACAGUGCCCUCUGGCAUUUUCCUUGGUCAUCCUCGCUGCGUACUAGUCUUCACUUAGCGUCAGGCUCGCCUGAGAAAAGAAGAGGCGACAGGGAAGAUGAGAUCCCCCAAGCAGAUACAGCUAGAACCAGGGCAACCAAAGAGAGAAGAAUUUGUUUUAGAUAUGGGUAAGAUCACGCAGGAAGAAAUGCAAAAAGUCUGAGUUAGCUAUUAACAAAGAGAAGCCAGCAAUACCUUGAAUGAUAAAGAUGUGUCCCAAGGAGGCAAAGAAGGUUUGAGAGUGGGAAAUAUGUUCAUAUAAUUGAGUGUAUUAUAAAGCUAUGGAGCAACAUAAUCUUAUUAUCUCCUUAGCUGUUGGAAAUUAAUUUGGUCAAAUUCAGCGUCUAAUAGAUGGUUAGUUUUUUAUUGUAAUAAAUUUUUCCAUCUCAGUCUCA
ensembl:lncRNA